rnacentral:rRNA from 1 species
GACGAACGCUGGCGGCGUGCUUAACACAUGCAAGUCGAGCGAGAGAGUCUUCUUCGGAAGACGAUCUAGCGGCGGACGGGUGAGUAACACGUGGGUAACCUGCCUUAUAGAGGGGGAUAGCCUUCCGAAAGGAAGAUUAAUACCGCAUAACAUGGUUUUAUCGCAUGGUAGAAUCAUCAAAGGAGCAAUCCGCUAUAAGAUGGACCCGCGGCGCAUUAGCUAGUUGGUGAGGUAACGGCUCACCAAGGCGACGAUGCGUAGCCGACCUGAGAGGGUGAUCGGCCACAUUGGGACUGAGACACGGCCCAGACUCCUACGGGAGGCAGCAGUGGGGAAUAUUGCACAAUGGGGGAAACCCUGAUGCAGCAACGCCGCGUGAGUGAUGAAGGCCUUCGGGUUGUAAAGCUCUGUUUACAGGGACGAUAAUGACGGUACCUGUGGAGGAAGCCACGGCUAACUACGUGCCAGCCGCCGCGGUAAUAC